UCUGGGAGCCUCCCCUCUGGAAUUGGGCUGUUUCAGGUCCACUUUUCCAGGAGGUUCUUGCACAUGAAAAGAGGGAGCAUUUUAAUCACAAAUCACUCCAUGCCAUCUCCUGGGUCCCCAGAUGCGCUGGAGGGAUGGGAGCCUUCGUUCGUGCUCACGAAAGGCUGCAUCGGAGUUUUCCUGUAAAACUGUUGUUUUCUCUAAAAUGGGGAGAUGUGCCCUGACUUGACCGUCUUUGGCAGGAAGCAGAACAUUCCGGUAGUGGAGUAACCCAAAAGGCAAUGUCUCCAUCAAGCCGAGGAGGUCUGCGGCUGUCCGUCCAAGGCCCUCGCUCACGGCUGACACGUGCAGCCUGACUGCAGACGGCCCCGAGCCCGCCGCCCGGCGAGGAGACGAGGAGGCCCGUCCAGCAAGCACGGAGCCGUGGCCGAGGGGCGUCUGCUCUGCUGGUUCCAGUCCGAGCCAGAAGGGCGUUCAGAGCAGAGAGACUUUAUUUAAAGAACCCGAAAGGUUAAACCACUCAGUGUUCUGCAGAGUUAAAUCAGAGGUGUGUUUAGCAGUCUAGGCAAGUUUGACCUGGGCCGUAUGGGUCUCAUAAUCUAUCCUACACUCUGACGUCUCUUGAUUCCAGAAUAUACAUCAAAAUGCUGAGCAGGGAGCGGAAACCAUGAACCCACAUCUCUGGAGGCCGACCCCGUGCCAUGCGUCCUCCAUAUGCAGCUCCCAGACCUCCCAGAACUCGGGGAGGGGAGGUUGUUACUGUCCCUCCCUCACAGAUGGGGACACUGAGGCACAGGAGGGGGGAGCCAGUGGCCUCAGGCGGCACAGCGGCCGGGGGCGGAGUGGGACUCUGGAGCCACGCUGUGACCCCGGCCUCCAAGCUGCCUUCCCGUCGGCCUCCCGAUGAGUCUGAAUCUGCAUCUCCGGCCGCGGUCUCGCUCCUGGGCUCUGCUCUUUGCUCCUCUGGGCCUCGGACGGGUCUCCUCCGAUACCUCUGUUACUGCAGACUCAGCGGGUCUAAAACUGACCCUGACCUUCACCAUGGAAGGGCCACCCACUCGUCCUACUCCAGAGGACCCUGAGAUCAGACGGGCGAUGGGCCCCACCCGAGGCCCCGGCCACUCGUCCCGGGCUGUGUCCCCACAUUGCCGCCUGGAGCCUGCGACCCACACAGAUGCGCAGCCGCCAGCGUACCCCUGCUGAUCUGAACCACCAAGCCCUGACAUGUAAAAAGAUCGGCAUCACUCCCAUUCUUACCACAAGAAAAAUCCUGAACAACCUGAAGAUCGAUGGCUUUUCUCGGACACGUCAGAGAACUGGGGUCAAAGGGCAAACCAUCAGAAGGUGCACUGUCCCGGUGGCACUCGGACAGCACGGCUGGUGGGCUGUGACUCCCAACGCAGAUGAGAAUAGCCCCGCGGGGACCAGAUGCUGAGCAGUGCUUUACCACCACGGUCUCGGUUGGUGGGGCUGUGGACGGCCUGAGCCUUUGAGCUCAGGCCACUGUGCCCAGCCCUUUCAUCUGUUCGAUUCGAUGCUAAGUCUGCCCUGAGCUAGGGACGCGGCGGGGAAA